UGCAAGGUCGAACGGCAGCACGGGAGCAAUCCUGGUGGCGAGUGGCGAACGGGUGAGUAAUAUAAUCGGAACGUGCCCAGUCGUGGGGGAUAACGUAGCGAAAGCUACGCUAAUACCGCAUACGAUCUAUGGAUGAAAGCGGGGGAUCGCAAGACCUCGCGCGAUUGGAGCGGCCGAUAUCAGAUUAGGUAGUUGGUGAGGUAAAGGCUCACCAAGCCGACGAUCUGUAGCUGGUCUGAGAGGACGACCAGCCACACUGGGACUGAGACACGGCCCAGACUCCUACGGGAGGCAGCAGUGGGGAAUUUUGGACAAUGGGCGCAAGCCUGAUCCAGCAAUGCCGCGUGCAGGAUGAAGGCCUUCGGGUUGUAAACUGCUUUUGUACGGAACGAAACGGUGAGCUCUAAUACAGUUUGCUAAUGACGGUACCGUAAGAAUAAGCACCGGCUAACUACGUG
rnacentral:rRNA from 1 species